UGCACCAAAUUAAGGAGCACUGUGGAUCCUGUCAAAGCUGAACCAAACCAAGUGAGUCAGAAAAGGCCAAACACAUUAAUCAUCAUGAGCGUCAUUCAGGUUUGUCUUAAUUGCACCAAAUUAAGGAGCACUGUGGAUCCUGUCAAAGCUGAACCAAACCAAGUGAGUCAGAAAAGGCCAAACACAUUAAUCAUCAUGAGCGUCAUUCAGGUUUGUCUUUAUCACUCUAAAUUUGCAUAGACUCUCUAGGACUGUCACUGCAUGAUACACACACUGAGGCACGUUGUUU
rnacentral:lncRNA from 1 species